UACGUAGGGGGCAAGCGUUGUCCGGAUUUAUUGGGCGUAAAGAGCGUGUAGGCGGCCAGGUAGGUCUGCUGUGAAAACUCGAGGCUUAACCUCGAGCUGUCGGCGGAAACCAUCUGGCUAGAGUCCGGAAGAGGAGAAUGGAAUUCCCGGUGUAGCGGUGAAAUGCGUAGAUAUCGGUAGGAAUACCUAUGGCGAAAGCAGGCUACUGGACCAUCACUGACGCUGAUCUGCGAAAGCUAGGGGAGCAAACAGG
rnacentral:rRNA from 1 species